UACGUAGGAGGCAAGCGUUGUCCGGAAUUACUGGGCGUAAAGCGUGCGCAGGCGGUGAUGUAAGACAGAUGUGAAAUCCCCGGGCUCAACCUGGGAACUGCAUUUGUGACUGCAUCGCUGGAGUGCGGCAGAGGGGGAUGGAAUUCCGCGUGUAGCAGUGAAAUGCGUAGAUAUGCGGAGGAACACCGAUGGCGAAGGCAAUCCCCUGGGCCUGCACUGACGCUCAUGCACGAAAGCGUGGGGAGCAAACAGG
rnacentral:rRNA from 1 species